GUUACAUUGAUAAGACUCCUUCAGGUAAGAGAUUAAAACAUGCCUUUAUUAUUAUAAGGUUAGUGACCAUUUUAAUGGAAUAAAAAGAUUAUUCCUGUUGCAUUGGAGAUAGGAAAUUUGGGGUGUGAAUGUGUGAGGUAGGUGUCUUUUCCCUCCUAUGCCUGUAUUGUUCAAAAGCUCUUUGACAUUGGAAAAAGGUUAGCUCUAUAAUCUUAAUAUUAAUAUUUAGUAUAAAAUCUAUGGAGAACACACAUUAUAUAGGGAGCCAAAAAGUUCAACUCUUUUUUUCAAUCGAGAGAAGGUAAGUAGGUGAUUUUCACAGACUAAGAGGUUUUUGCCUUUUAACACCAACAACAUAAUACUAUUCAUAUUUGCUCUAUCAUUGUGAUUAACCUCCUUUCUCCCUCCAAAAAAAACACACUUAGCUUACUCACCUAACAGUAAUGACAUACAUCAAUUUAAAAACAAAGAGGAGUUUCAAAAUUAAUUUCUACCUAAUGUGCAUGACUGAUGUGGAAAAGAUAAUGAGAGUUACCCAAAUAUUCACACAUGUAAAUUGUGGAAAUAAGAGAGAGAGAGAAAAAACUCAACAGAUAUAAUCUGUAAAGUUGUCAAAAGACUUUCAAAUAGCUAAUUCCUUCAGAUUAUAUAUUUCAAUAUAAGUUGCUGUUUAAAUAGAGGUCUCAUUUGGUGGAAGGAGCUUUCAAAAGAAAAAAUACAUCAAGGUAAAUAAUAUUACCUUUGCCAUUUGUUAUGAAAUACAUAUAUCAUGAGGAAUUAUGUUUCAUUAAAACGUAAUAGGUGACAGUUUCAUAUGGUCAGAUAUAAAAUGUAUAUAAGUUAUGUUUACCAGGAAGAUUAUAUAGCAUUUUUAAUCUUGAUUUUUCAUGACUUCUUGCAAAUAGGCAUUUAUUGCUUUCCAAACCAUGUCUGGGAGUGAAGGAGAAAAAGUUAUUUUAUCCGAAGAGUUAGCUGUUCUUCCUUGAUUCAAUCGGAUGUGAGUUUUGAUAUCAUAGAGGGGAAUGUAUUAAGAUCAUUCCUAAAAUAUAACUGUGUUUUUACUGUUUU
rnacentral:lncRNA from 1 species